rnacentral:rRNA from 1 species
UACGUAGGGUGCAAGCGUUGUUCGGAAUCAUUGGGCGUAAAGCGCGUGUAGGCGGUUUGUUAAGUCGAUUGUGAAAUCCCUGGGCUCAACCUGGGAACGGCGCGCGAAACGGGAGGGCUGGAGUUCGGGAGAGGAGAGUGGAAUUCCCAGUGUAGAGGUGAAAUUCGUAGAUAUUGGGAAGAACACCGGUGGCGAAGGCGGCUCACUGGCCCGGUACUGACGCUGAGAUACGAAAGCGUGGGGGAGCAAACAGG